rnacentral:rRNA from 1 species
ACCCGCACAAGCAGCGGAGCGUGUGGUUUAAUUCGUUGCUACACGAAGAACCUUACCUGGGUUUGACAUAUAGGUUGUAGGGAACUGAAAGGGACGACCCUUCGGGGAGCCUAUACAGGUGUUGCAUGGCUGUCGUCAGCUCGUGUCGUGAGAUGUUCGGUUAAGUCCGCUAACGAGCGCAACCCUCGUCGUAUGUUAUAUGUGUCAUACGAGACUGCCGGUAAAAAGCCGGAGGAAGGUGAGGAUGAUGUCAAGUCAGCAUGACCUUUAUAUCCAGGGCUACACACACGCUACAAUGGUCUGUACAAUGGGUAGCCAAGCCGCGAGGCGGAGCCAAUCCUGAAAGCAGGCCUCAGUUCAGAUUGCAGUCUGCAACUCGACUGCAUGAAGCCGGAGUUGCUAGUAACCGCAGGUCAGCAAUACUGCGGUGAAUACGUUCCCGGGUCUU